CAUCAAGUGAUGAAAAAAAAUAACUGCAACAAAAUGAUAUUUGUUUGUGAUUAUUAUUCGUAUUUAAGUCUCUGAUGAUGAACAAAUAUUUUUUUUUUUUAAAUUUACUUAAAUUGUUUUAUUAAUUUGGAGAAAUGAUGAAUAAUUAAUUGGUCCGUGUUUCUGAAUUAACCGUGACCGACAACCUUUAACCACUUCUGAUCUC
rnacentral:lncRNA from 1 species